rnacentral:rRNA from 1 species
UACAGAGGGUGCGAGCGUUGUUCGGAAUUAUUGGGCGUAAAGCGCAUGUAGGCGGUAUUUUAAGUCGCGUGUGAAAGCCCCAGGCUCAACCUGGGAAGUGCGCGCGAAACUGGAGUACUUGAGUGCUGGAGAGGGUGGCGGAAUUCCCGGUGUAGAGGUGAAAUUCGUAGAUAUCGGGAGGAACACCAGAGGCGAAGGCGGCCACCUGGACAGACACUGACGCUGAGACGCGAAAGCGUGGGGAGCAAACAGG